rfam:Gossypium raimondii Chr11_contig_650, whole genome shotgun sequence.
AAACCAUGCAUCGGGCAUUUUCAAAUUAGUUUCUUGGAACACUCUCAUGCUUCAUAUAAUGUCUCAUCUUCAGAUUGUCUGAACGAUGUAAUGUCGUUCCUAAGCUU